GCGCCCGUGCUGGAAUCUGGUAGACAAAUCAGACUUAGAAUCUGAUGUCCGAAAGGACGUGUGAGUUCGAAUCUCACCGGGUGCA
rnacentral:tRNA from 1 species